AUGAGGCAGCCGCCCUGCCGCUUCACCCGGAGCCCACCUCGCCCACCACGCGCCCGCACCACCACCACUACCUCUUCUCCAUCAAGCAGCUCAACACGCUGGGCGCCGCCGCCGUACUGGCCUUCUCGACCACCAUGCCGCUCUCGGAGAUCGCCUUUGGCGUUCUGCUCCUCCCCUACCUCCUCCUCCUGGUCACGCUCGCCUUCCCGCAGCGCCCCGGGAAGCCCAACCCGUCCGCGCCUGUCUUCCGCGGCCUCGCGCACCCCCCCUCGCCGCGCACACCGUGGGCGGGUUCCUCGUCGGCGCCGCGCUCCCGGCGUUGUACAUCUACAUCGGGCUCACCGCCGCGUUCCCGUGGCGGUUCUCGCUCCCCGUCAGGGCUGCCGUACCGGUCAUGUACAAUGCAAGCAGGAUGUUCGCGGCAGGGUAGUGGCUCCGGAAGGAGAUGGAGGGGGCGACUGCGGUGAUGGGAAGGGAAGGGGGCCGAGCGGCAGGAGGGUGGGCUGGUCGAGGAGUUCCCUGGCGGCGGCGGUGGCGUAG
rnacentral:rRNA from 1 species